rnacentral:lncRNA from 1 species
CCGGAUCCCAGGCAGAAGGGAGAAAUUUCAGCAGCGCCCCCAGCAAAUGCUCCAGCCACAGGGUAGGAGCGUGGCUGCCUUGUCGGUGCUGCCCAGGCCAGUCGCCCAAGAGAAGUCGCUGCGUCAGA